UAGUUAUUUUCUUUAAACUUAAAGAAUUUGGCGGUAUUUUAGUCUAUUUAGAGGAAUUUGCCCCUUAAUCGAUAAUCCUCGUUUUAUCUUGCUUGAUUUUGUUUCCAGUAUGUAUAUCGUUGUUAUAAGUUUAUUUUUUUAGGAUAAAAAUUUACUUUAUAUAUUAUUAUAUUUUAUUUCAAAUCAAGGUGCAGUUAAUAAUUAAGUGGAGGUUAAUUACAAUAUUUUUGAAUAAACGGAUUUAAUUUUAAAAUUUUAAUGAAGGUGGAUUUAAUAGUAAUUUUAAUAAUAGUGUUAUUUUGAUUUUAGCUCUGAAAUAAGUACACAUCGCCCGUCGCUCUA
rnacentral:rRNA from 1 species